AGGACGAACGCUGGCGGCGUGCUUAACACAUGCAAGUCGAGCGAACCUUCGGGUUAGCGGCGAACGGGUGAGUAACACGUGGGCAACCUGCCCCGAGCUCUGGGAUAACUCCGGGAAACCGGGGCUAAUACCGGAUAUGACCCGAGAAGACAUCUUCUCGGGUGGAAAGUUUUUCGGCUCGGGAUGGGCCCGCGGCCUAUCAGCUUGUUGGUGGGGUAACGGCCUACCAAGGCGACGACGGGUAGCCGGCCUGAGAGGGCGACCGGCCACACUGGGACUGAGACACGGCCCAGACUCCUACGGGAGGCAGCAGUGGGGAAUAUUGCGCAAUGGGCGAAAGCCUGACGCAGCGACGCCGCGUGAGGGAUGAAGGCCUUCGGGUUGUAAACCUCUUUCAGCAGGGACGAAGCGAAAGUGACGGUACCUGCAGAAGAAGCACCGGCAACUACGCGCCAGCAGCCGC
rnacentral:rRNA from 1 species